rnacentral:rRNA from 1 species
UACUCGAGUGGCGAACGGGUGAGUAACACGUGGGUGAUCUGCCCUGCACUUCGGGAUAAGCUUGGGAAACUGGGUCUAACACCGGAUAGGAGCCAUCUUUAGUGUGGUGGUUGGAAAGUUUUUUCGGUGUAGGAUGAGCUCGCGGCCUAUCAGCUUGUUGGUGGGGUAAUGGCCUACCAAGGCGGCGACGGGUAGCCGGCCUGAGAGGGUGUACGGCCACAUUGGGACUGAGAUACGGCCUAG